rnacentral:lncRNA from 1 species
AUGCAGUCAUUCUCACCAAAGGUAAGUUUUAUCUUUUUAAAAAAGGGUUUUAAAUUGAGCAAUGAGAAACAUUCUCUGCAUGAGAUUAUGAAGUCCACACAGGAGACUGGUGGUUCUACAGCUCAGAGGCACCUGGGGUGCUUGUUAAAAGUGCAGUCUCCGGUUCACUUCCAGAGUGCUGACUCGGUGCACUGGUGGCACCUAAGAAUCUCUAUUCAUGAAGCUUCCAGUGAUUCUGGUGCAGAGUUUGUAGUGGAAACUACCCACACUCGGUGUGACAGAACCUGUGCCCUGCAGAGACAGGGGUCAGACAGGCUCUAGGGCCCUUGCUUUGCCCGUCUCUUGUGUCUAUAGGAGACACAGGAGGUUCUGAGCAGGCUCUUCGUGUGCGCCUCUAGCCACCGAGUUCCAGAACCCUCAGUCACCUGAAGGGCCUAUCUACAUGAUGCCAGGUAGCUGGGCAGUUAGAGAAGACAAGGCCAUUCGUUUCCAGAGCUACAGGAUUAGUAAACCCAACUUCUAGUCCAUGAAAAUUCUUCAUCUUUAGAUCAGGGAACACACCUUCAGGCUAUCAACCCUCCAGAAAACGGGUGUGACUUCUGACCGUCCCCUCCUCUCCUGCUGAGCCAGCUGAAAGAAUUUAAAGAACAGCAAGCUUGACUCUGCCCAAAGGGGUAUUUUCCUCGUGUCUUUGGAGAAUUUGGUUGCUCUACUCCCACUGUUUAGAGGUUAUGGCAGGAAUUUCAAAGCUCUUUCAACAAGUCUCUUAUCCACCCUCAUACACAAACCUACAAAACCAAAUUCAUGGCGCACCUGUCUCCAAGGUUAGAGAAUUCGACACGUAGGUAAAGAGUCAUUAGAGCACAUUUCCCAAGAGCAGCCCCACUGUUUCUCACUGUCCACAUAACCAAGAGCCUGCAAGAAUACUGAAAACCUCCACCCCAAGGGUGGGGACAGGGAUACGCCAGAACCCACGCAGCGUUAUUCAUUAUGCACCCGAGAAACUGACCCACCCGCAGGAACAGCCACACGGACUCUUUCGGGCCUGACCCCUGAGAACCCUCUCCACAAGCAGACCCAGUACCUCCCCAGGGCUCACCCACCUUAAGGGAUCCAUCUGGGGCAGAUGGGGAGCAGGCAGCCCUCAGAGAACUUCUACGAGUCUGUGGGUCCACAAAACAGACCUAGAGGAAGAAAAUCCAAGGCUCAGGACUUCUUUUGUCUUCAUGGUGAGACUUCUCCUCCUCUCUGCUCUUGCAGUUCCACAUCCAGCCUAUAAAAAAUAAAAAGCUCAGAGAAUGAGAGCAAUCAAGGAGCGUUCUUCCCAUCGUGGCCCUUCCCACACAGGCACCAGGAGUACCUCUGGGCCACAGCCAGUAGAAUAUGUCUAGCAUUGCCAUUGACGCAAGGAGCGAACUUCUUGGGCGCUAGGCCCAGGCAGCUCUGAAGACUCCAAAGAGCAAGAGUCCAGUGAAAGGGUAAUGAUGUUCAUAAAUCAUCCAGAUGUCAGCACCAGGACAGGAGGUGCACCUACCCAAACUGCA